rnacentral:rRNA from 1 species
GUCUGUGGCCAUACCACCCUGAAUGUACCUGAUCUUGUCCGAUCCCAGAAGCUAAGCAGGGCCAGGCCUGGUUAGCACUUGGACAGAGAGAUCACAGUUGCCUAGCUU